AAGCUUAGUUCAUGAUGAAUUAUUUAACCGAUAAUUAAAUAAUAGAGACUCAAACCCUCUUAAGCUUU
rnacentral:tRNA from 1 species